GACGAACGCUGGCGGCGCGCCUCAUACAUGCAAGUCGAACGUGAAGCCCGGAGCUUGCUCUGGGUGGAAAGUGGCGAACGGGUGAGGAACACGUGAGGAACCUGCCCUGGAGACCGGGAUAACACCGGGAAACCGGUGCUAAUACCGGAUGCCCUCACCGGACCGCAUGAUCCGGUGAGGAAAUGGAUUCCGCUCCAGGAUGGUCUCGCGGCCUAUCAGCUUGUUGGUGGGGUAACGGCCCACCAAGGCUUCGACGGGUAGCUGGUCUGAGAGGAUG
rnacentral:rRNA from 1 species